rnacentral:tRNA from 1 species
GGAUAUAGCUCAAGUGUUAGAGUGCAUGCUUAGCAUGCAUGAGGUCCUGGGUUCAAUCCCCAGUACCUCCA